rnacentral:SRP_RNA from 1 species
GCCGGGCACCGUGGUGGGUGCCUGUAAUCCCAGCUACUCGGGAGGCUGAGGCAGGAGAAUUGCUUGAACCUGGGAGGCGGAGGUUGUAGUGAGCCAAGAUUGCACCACUGCCAUCCAGCCUGGGCAACAGAGCGAGACUCUGUCUCAA